GUGGGGAAUUUUGGACAAUGGGGGCAACCCUGAUCCAGCCAUGCCGCGUGCGGGAAGAAGGCCUUCGGGUUGUAAACCGCUUUUGUCAGGGAAGAAAUCCUUUGGGUUAAUACCUCGGAGGGAUGACGGUACCUGAAGAAUAAGCACCGGCUAACUACGUGCCAGCAGCCGCGGUAAUACGUAGGGUGCGAGCGUUAAUCGGAAUUACUGGGCGUAAAGCGUGCGCAGGCGGUUUUGUAAGAUCGAUGUGAUAUCCCCGGGCUCAACCUGGGAACUGCAUUGGUGACUGCAAGGCUGGAGUGCGGCAGAGGGGGAUGGAAUUCCGCGUGUAGCAGUGAAAUGCGUAGAUAUGCGGAGGAACACCGAUGGCGAAGGCAAUCCCCUGGGCCUGCACUGACGCUCAUGCACGAAAGCGUGGGGAGCAAACAGGAUUAGAUACCCUUGUAGUCC
rnacentral:rRNA from 1 species